AGAAAAUAAGAUCAUUUGCCGCGAAUGGAGAACAUCUCAGGCAGCCCUGAUGCGCCACCGGCAAACUGAGUCACAAAGAAGCAUAAGUCUCAAGCCCCAGUUAGGUGGAUGCUUUUUAAAAAUGUGUACUAUAUCCAGCAGGACGUAUGUACUGGUGACCUCCAGAUGAGCUCUGUGCAAUAAUCAGCAGGACUGGAGGAGGUCACGUGACAUUCACAGGCAUCCAGUCCCAGGGCACCUCCUGCUGCCUGGCCCCACCGGGUUUAUUUGAAUAGUCUGACUCGAUCAAUCCACAGAGCCUUCUAACAAUUCAAGUCCUUGCAGAGAGAAGCUUGCUCAGAGUGGUUACUGAAAACAGGAACCUGCCCUUCUGCAAGCCCUGUGCCUUCCUCGUUCCUAGCAGAGGAAGUAUGCGGCCAGUUUAGCAACUGCAGUUCUUCUGGGUAGCAUGGGCUGCUUCUCCACAACCGCGAGAGGCCCGGCUGCCUGUUUAUUCCGGAGCAGCAGCAGUUGACAGACGGAGAGGCAGUGACUCUGCGCCCAGCAAUCCCUCUGCAGACAGCUCCCACAG
rnacentral:sRNA from 1 species